CCACGUAGAUAGUUCUAAAAACAAGUUUAUGAAACAAGUUACAUUGAAGAACAUUUCUACAAAAUAUGAAUCACUUAAUCUAACUGAAAAGAAUCUUAAAAUUAUUUAAAAAAAUACAAAUCCUAAUAUUAAACUAUUGAUUUGGUAUCUUUGGAAUCUGUUUUCUCAAAACCUACAUGGCUGAUAUCCAAUCAAUUUUAUAUUCAUAACUUUGCUAUUACCCAACCAAUCUCCAUCAAUCUAAACAUAAUUUUAAAGAGGAAAACAUGCAGAGUUUUUAAAUACCAAAAACUCCAUUUUUUUUAACCGCCCCACCCCCACAAACACAUAUUAUUCUAACAUUAAUUCUGCAGAUUAUGAUUAGUCAUUCAUCAAUUAAAAUAGACAAAAAUAAUAAUAAAAACUAGUGUAAAUUAUAUUUAACUAAUAGUUAAAGCUUCAAAUUCAAUGUUGUACCUUUUGAAAGUUUUUUAGAAAAAUGCGAUUGCUUUGUGUUACUUUUAAAUUUAUAUUUAUAUAUUUUUGUGGCAAGUCUAGUUUACCAGGAGCACACACCACCAGUUUUAACCAACUGUGUUGUGCUCUCUAGGAUAACCAUAUGGAUGAUAAACUCUGGUUUUAAAUUUAGAAGACAUUAACACUUUUUUUCCUGAAGCAUCUGUCAUCCAUCGUCGGUAUCUUGCACAAUGUAGAAACCUAAUGCUCCCAGUCACUCUGCCUUAAAGCACAUUUUCUGUCUUAUUUUCUAGGUCAAAGCGAUCACAUCAGUAAUAUUAGUGUCCCAAUCAUGCUGUCUUCUGAGUUUAAAAUAAAAACAAUUUUGGUAUUGUUGAAAUGCAAGAUACAUUAAUUGCUUAACUUGCAUCUUUAGCUACAGCUCCCUCUGGAGGAUUGGAAUGCUAUAAUUAGUUAAUUAGCUAAAUUAAAUAAAUAUUUAAAGGUUGAUAUUUUCAAACAAAGACCAUGAGGCAGUGUAGUUCACCCCAGGUUAAAUUUAGAAACAAGAAAUAAAAACAUGCACUGGGGAAAAAUGAGGGUGGGGGGGCAUAUUUGGUCACAGAAAAAAUGUGUACUCACUUGAUGACUUCCUGUAUUCAUUGAAUACACAAACAAAACUGAGUUUAUGUUUGUUAGUAAAAAAGCUUUCAGAGCUUUCAAAAAAUUGCAAGUAAAGGUCUGCUCAAACUGUAUUUUCUCAAUUAUUUUGUCUACAUUGUUUUUCAUAGCACUGGUAACAUAGUCUUGUAAAAAAACAAUACCGCAUCAUGUGGUGCCUAUCUAGGCCUAUACAUAUUAGCCAAGCCCUAUUCUAUUACUACUAUGACUUAUGAGACAAGCUUCCAUGUUAGGUAAAGUUAUAAUAAUUAAAUAAUAGCAACAACUGAAUAAGUCUGAGUCUGUAUUUAACUAGUUGGAUUCCCCAUACUCAUUAUUGUAAGUUAUGUAAUAGCUUCCAUAAUUUAAUAUACAAUUCAUAUAGUACAAAAAAAAAUUAAUGAGCCCACUGUUUUAAAUUAAUAUAUAAAUAAUAAUUGUUUUGAUGUGAGUUUGCAUUCUUUUGCCCUACCUGACAUAAUUAUUGUACCAAAUAUUCAGUAUGUUCCCAAAUACUUUCGAAGAAAAUUCACAAGUUAUUCGGUUGGGAAUGAAAACCACAACCUCCAGCUAACUAGUCUAGUGCGAUAACCACUAGAUUAACGAGUUUGAGCUUAAUGACUUGUGUUGAAUCCAAUCCCCAAGUUGCAUCGGGUACUGCAAUUGUUCCAACAAAUGUUAAUUUAAAAGUUUUUCCUGGUCUCUAUGAUCAAUUGUAUUUUUUUUGGUCAUUUAAACAGUAAUAUAGAUAAUACGUAAUGGUGCUUUCUAAUUUUUUGUACUGAAUUUUUAUUAAUAUUUAGUUAAUUUCGCUAAAAUAAUUUAAUAAACAAUUCAAUUUUAACAAUUUUAAUAUAUAAAUAAUGAUUUUUGUAACAUGCACUAUACACUCUAGUCUAUUAUUACUAUGUUAAUAGUUUACAAAAUAUUAGUAUUUGGUUAAUUUCACUACCAUAAUUUAAUAUACAAUUCAUACAGUUAAAAAAAAAAGCAAAGGUCAUGAAGUUUUAACUUGAUAUAUAAAUAAUAAUUUUUGUUAGCAUGUACUAUACACUCUAGUUUAUUAUUACUAUGUUAACAUUUUACAAAAUAUUAGUUGGAGGAUACCAAUACCACAGCCUUUAUUAUGUUAUCCCUUAAGAUGAAUAUGACAUGAAUACUGCGGUGGCUUCUUUUGAGGAAUCGUACGAUUAAAUAAGCAUGAAUCCCUUAGGGUGUACAGUAGGUUGAAAACACAUUUGUGGUUCAUAUAUUAUAUAUGGGCAAGUAAAUGUCAGCGUAGUCUUACUGAAUACAUCACUGAAUAAUAGAAACAUCCAGGAUUUGUAGAGUACUUCAAUUUUUGUUAAUCAUGGAAUAAAUUUCUAUAUUCCAUUAGUUAAUAAGUGAGGGGGACAAAUUGCAAAAUAAAGGGAAGUCUUGGACCGUAGGCCCAAGCCUUGUCGGGGAUCGGGGGCAGCCCAGGGCCCUCACCGAGGGGCCUUAGGCGAAGUCCCCGUAAGCUUUGGUGUCUUUUAUAAGUCGUAUCUAAUUAAUUUUAAGGUAUGUAAUUAAAAUUUAUUUCCACACUACAUUUUCAAAAUACAGUGGUAGGUCCAGAAAUUCCAAAUAGAGGGGGCCCAGGGAGAGACUUUUAUAGAUGGAGUGUAGACCACCUGAGUCAUACCAUGGUUGGAGCUAAGAUAAGAAAAUUUAUGAUUAUGGCAUCUCUAGUUGGCCGGAAAUGGUACUCCCAGACUGUAGGCCUACUUGAAUAUAAUUUUCUGUUUUCUCCACUUUUAAAUUUUGAAAAAACUAGGGAGGGUGGGCCGGGUGGUCCCCAUUGAAUCUGCCAGUGAAAUACUCAUCAUAUUAUUUUUUUUUCCAAUCAAUUUAUCCUAGUACUCAUAAUCAUGCCCGCUUACAUACUUCAUUCAGACUAACAUUCAUAAAAAUAAUGAUCUAUUAUCUACUGACAUUCGAAACAUGGAAAACAAAUGAUAAAUCAUGUUCCACUCCAAUUCUAUCUUAGCAUGUACAGUAUUUUAAAAAUCAAUCGAGAGCUUUUUCCUUUUCUCCACUUUUUGAAUUUCACUUUUGUGCGAGUAGUAAAGCGACUACACUACUGUGAGUGGAAAUACUACCGUCUAACUUCUAACGAUCGAAAUAAAAAAUAGAAAUAGGUCGAACACACCUAUAUCAGCCCCACCAUAGCUUGGGGCUGAGGUGAGCAAAUUAUAAGAAAAUGCCUCUCUAGAUGCGCGGUAAUGGCACUCUUAGAUGGUAGAAAUGCUUUUUCAAAGCAGUCUUCUCGACAAAAUUAUAGACUUUUUCCGACGGCAGAUCUGCUCCUCCUCAUAAAACACCCCUUCCCUCACGGGCGUCGCAAAUGACUGAUUAUGGACCUAUAGUCUAUUCAUGGAGGAAAUAUAUUAAUUUUAUACUGGAAGUCGCAAAGCAAAUUAUGAUUAUGACACCUCAGAUGCCCAGAAAUGGCACUCAUUUGAGUGUUCAAAUUUGAAUUUUUUAUCUCCAAUUCUUUUUUAAUUUUGCCAAAUGUAGGGGGUUCUGGUCGGCUGUGCACCCCAUCCCCACUGGAUUAAUAUGAUAUAUGUCCUAUAUAUAAUGACAGACAUAUUAUGCUGUUAUGUAUAAAGAAAGCUCUUUUAGAUCAGAGUGCUAUGAUAGAGCAAGGAUCCUAUGGGUAGGGUCACCCCAUGGACCCCUAACUGGGGUCGGGUGGUAUUUUCAAAUAAAAAUCAUGAUGCAAUGUAGUUCACUUGGGUUAAAUUUAAUGUGUUUUAAUUGAAUUUACAUGUACGUAUAUUUAAAAAAUAUGUUUGAUUUAUAAGCUAAUAUCAAGUACAUUUUGUAACUACUGUAGGUCUACUACCAAAUAGUAACAAAUUAUCCACUUGGUGGGAAAAAAAAUGUAACCAACAAACUUGAAGAAUAGAACCUUCAAUUUUGGAGGGAAGAAGUUACACCAAGAAAAAAAGACAAUAUAUUUUUUAAUACAGAAUACAAAAAAAGUUAGGAAAAAAUAUAUACCUUUCAAAUAUAUACUUUUGAAACUGCAAAAUGGAGUUUUGAAAAAGAAAGAUUCCACAUAUAAAAACUUAAUUUUGAAAAAAAAUAAAUAUUGUUCGAAAUAUGGAGAUUUUUAUUUACGCAAGACAUGUGAAGGGCAAGAUGAAAUUCAAAUAAUUUUGUUCAAAAACGCACUAUUGUAAAUUAAUUCUAAAAAAAUUAAACUUAAAUUCACUACGUUUUUUUAAAAUAUUUAUUUUGUAUAUGUUUCACAAUAAAUAAAAAUUUGUAUUUGUAAUAAUUGUAGUUGUACAGUAUUUGAAUAUAUUUUCAGCAAGAAAAAGGUAAUUGUACACUUUCAUUACAGUUCCAAUCAUAUCUUUCAUAAAAUCUAUUAUCUAUCAUGGUUUUCCAAUAAUAAUAAUGUAAUAGUCAUUGUUAAAAUAAUAAAUGACAAGUAUUGUAUAGGUAAAUAACUAUAACAAUAAAUCUUACAAACAGAGGAGUAUUAAUAUAAAUGAAGCUCAAUCAAAGCAUAAGGCCCUUCAAAAAAAAAAAAUUAGCUUAUCACCAUAUCUACGCCGGAAAAGCCAAAUAUCACCGUUGGGUUGUUUGCUGGUGCAUUGAUAAAACAUGAUUGAGAUAUUUAUACAAACAAUAUCUACUAACUAUUUACUAAAAAAAUUGAAAAAUAAAAUCCCCCUACCAAAAAAAAAAAAAUAAAUAAAUAAAUACAUUUUUUUAAAAAUAUUUUUUCUUUUGUCAAUACCAUAGAUAAAGAUAAUAAAGUUCAUUCGUAUUUCGUAGGUGAUAAACUAAUGCAUAUUUUUUUUAUUGGGCCUAAUGUAUAAGUAAAGAGUAUAAAACUGCAAGAGGUCCGACUUCUGGAGAUUCGUUGGAAUGCAAAAAGUACUUCCACGAAGGGGCGUGGCCUUUAAAAGAUUCAAACAACGUGUACGAGUUUCUAAAUUUCUGAAGGGCUCCCCCUAUUUCGUGGCAGUACUUCUAGCGUUCCAUUGCCUGCAUACCUUGCUGCAUAGAAAAUCAGGGUAGUCGGACCUCUUGCAGUUUAUACUCUUUGGUAUAAAUAAAGCUGCAUUUCUACUCAGAAUGUAUAAUGGAAUUGGAUUCCUGGCCACAUAUUCCUAAAUGCGUGACUUGCAGAACCGAUGGUUAUUAGCAAAAAUGUUAAUGUGGAUGUAAAAUACUGGAAUCUUUUAGGUUUAAAAUAACUGGAAAAAAGAUUUGAAUUUGAAAACGGUUUGGAAUGUCGAAUAAUGUAAUGCUGCCUUGCGCGUGAAGUGUCUAUAAAAAAGUCUUGCCAUUUGCUUUACGUUUUAAAGGACGCCACCAAGCAGAAAUAUUACCUAGUUGCACGCAUUUAAACAAAACUCUCCAAUAUGUCUUUAUGUUAUUACCCACUUCCUACCGCUCCCAUGUUUUUUGCAGUUGUGGCCCUGUUAGCACCGUCUGCGCUAUAUUGUGGUCAUAAUAUCCUGGCAAAGGUCCAAAUUAACCCCAGCCCCACUGCGUUAAGAAUAGGCACCAAAAUAAUUGUAUUUUUCCCUCUGUGGGCACUGCUUCUGAUUCAAAAAUACAAAAUAGUAACUUAAGGUACAGGUUUCAGUAUACUCAACACCUUGUAUAAGAAAAAUACUCUCAUUCAUGGUAGCAAACGUGAGCAUUAGUGAAUUGAUUGUGGCAUGGUCAAGUUUCUAUAGAAACAGAUUAAAAUGUUGAGGACCUUGUACCACAUAGCCUUGUAAAUAGCAACUUGGAAAUUCAAUAUAGAGACUACAAUACUUGGCCUUUACACUUAGCUUUGUUAAUAGAAUACUUAAGUGUGUCUAAAUCCUUUUUUGUGCAAUCACUGUAAAUGCCAAUGUUGCUAAUAAAUUCUAAUAUAUUGCCAACUACCUUCACAAUUUAACCUUUUAUGAUUUUCCAUUUACAUAUGGUGGCAUUCGAUUUACAUUUUAUGCCUAUUUAAUUUAAAUUCAUUAAUUAUUCUAGUAUAUUAAUGUUGAACAAUACUGAUGUUGCAUAUUUCAGUGAAAUAUCUCUUACAAUAUUAAUAAAAUAGACAAUCAUACUUAUAUUCACAUCACCA